ensembl:rRNA 5S_rRNA 5S ribosomal RNA
GCUUACGGCCAUACCACUGACAAAGCCCGAUCUCCUCUGACCUCGGAAGCAAAGUAAAGUUGGGCCUGGUUAGUACUUGGUUGGGAGACUGAAUGGGAAUACUAGGUGCUGUAAGCU